AGACAUCCAAGCUCAAUAGCUCGAGAUGAGGAAUCUGAAGCUAGCUCCCUUUCUGUUGAGAACAAACAAUACUCAAUAAAUGAGGCUUAUUCACAUCAUGUGACCCUUCCUGUACAUAAUGAAAACAUAAGUGUCAAUAUACCAAGUCUUGUGAUUGAAAAAGCUAAGAACCCUACAGGACCAGGGAUGCAACAGGAGCAAAUUAAGAGGGACAAGUCUCAGCAUGAAAGGGCACAAAUCCUGGGGAAUCAUAAUUCACCAUUGUGUGAUGUGGAUUUAAAUGAAAUUCUUAAUUUCGAAGUGUUUGCACGGCACUUGACUAAUGAAGAACAGCAGCAGUUG
rnacentral:misc_RNA from 1 species